CUAGCCGUAAACGAUGCAGACUAGGCGUUGGCGGAGUAAAAUCCGUCAGUGCCCAAGCUAACGCGAUAAGUCUGCCGCCUGGGGACUACGGCCGCAAGGUUAAAACUCAAAGGAAUUGACGGGUCCCCGCACAAGCAGCGGAGCGUGUGGUUUAAUUCGAUGAUACACGAAGAACCUUACCAGGGUUUGACAUACUAGUGGUAGGAAACUGAAAAGGGACCGACCCCUCGGGGAGCUAGAACAGGUGC
rnacentral:rRNA from 1 species